GAAAAGCUAGAUUCUAGCCUCGAGUUUCACAAUUUUAGUAACAGCACUUGAAGAGGAUAGUAGAAGAUGAUGGGCGGUAAAGAGAGCAUGGAGACUGUAUCCCUUGAGGAUGAUGAAGAGUUGACCUCGAAAUCCCACUCUAAUUACCGAAGUGCCAUGACUUCUCUUUCUGAUUCCCACCACCCUCUUUCCCCGUCGAUCGUCGCUACACCUGCCGAUUCCGACCCCUUGUUAGCUCCUCAAACCCACAUUCUUCAUGUUGAACAACAACUUAACCCUAACGAAUUGACAAUGCCGCCUCCUCCUCCUCCUCCGCCUUUAAACUUGGAGUAUUUGAAUAUCACUGUUUCCGAUCCACUCAAGGAAAUGGAAUCAUCAUCUGCCUCAAUUGUUCCCGGCAGUAAUACUUACGUUACCUAUUUAAUCACCACAAAAACCAAUUUACCCGAUUAUGGAGGAUCCGAUUUCAGCGUGCGGAGACGCUUCAAAGACGUAGUUACUUUAUCUGACCGAUUGAGCGAAGGUUAUAGAGGAUAUUUUAUUCCUCCCAGGCCGGACAAAAGUGUGGUGGAGAGUCAAGUGAUGCAAAAGCAAGAGUUUGUGGAGCAAAGAAGGCUGGCAUUGGAGAAGUACUUGCAGAAGCUCGCAUCACAUCCACUCAUCAAGAAGAGUGAUGAAUUGAGGGUCUUUUUGCAGGUGGAUGGUAAGCUUCCCUUGCCAACCACCACUGAUGUCGCAUCUAGGGUUUUGGAUGGAGCAGUGAAGUUGCCAAAGCAGUUGUUCGGGGACUCGGGAAAUGUGAUUGGGCCCCAGGAUGUUGUUCUGCCCGCUAAAGGUGGUAAGGAUUUGCUCAGGUUGUUCAAAGAAUUGAAGCAGUCCGUUGCCAAUGAUUGGGGUGGCUCCAAGUCACCUGUCGACGAUGGCGAUAAGGAUUUCCUGCAAAAGAAAGAAAGGUUGCACAAUCUUGAGCUGCAACUAAGUAAUGCCUCAAAGCAGGCUGAAUCACUUGUUAAAGCUCAGCAAGAUAUGGGGGAGACGAUUGGAGAACUUGGGCUAGCAUUUAUUAAGUUGACAAAGUUUGAGAAUGAACGAGCUACAGUGAAUACUCAGAGAGAACAGGCUGCUGAUAUGAGAAACGUGGCAACUGCAGCUGUUAAAGCCAGCAGAUUGUAUCGGGAGUUAAAUUCACAGACAGUGAAGCAUUUGGAUAUUCUACAUGAACACCUGAGUCUAAUGUUGGGCGUACACCAUGCAUUUUCAGACCGAUCAAGUGCUUUAUUGACACUGCAGACUCUCAUUUCGGAGUUAUCUUCUUUAAAUUCAAGAGCAGAGAAACUUGAAACAGCAACCUCUAAGAUAUUUGGAGGUGAUAAAUCAAGGGUUCGAAAGUUGGAAGAGUUAAAAGAUGCCAUUAGGGUCACUGAAGAUGCCAAAAGCUGUGCCAUGAGGGAAUAUGGCCGCAUUAAGGAAAAUAAUCGAAGUGAGAUAGAUAGAAUAAAUAGAGAAAGGCAUGUUGACUUUGUGAACAUGUUGAGAGGAUUUGUAACUAGUCAGCAUAUCUCAGGUCUCCAUCAUUUCUAACACAAAAUGCCACAGAACUUGGCCCUGGAUUCCAAUUGAUGUGUAGUCCAGAGAUUCCUUCAAAAAGAACCAAAAUGCCUCUCAGGUACCUCAGUUGCUCCUCCUCAGCAUCACAGAAGAUCAAGGUGUCAUCAGCAUAUUGGUGAUGAGUAAUUUCCUGAUGACGGUGGCUUAUGCAGAGAGAAUUGGACAAGAGUGGUCGAAAGUUGCAGAGGAGACCAGUCGUUAUUCAAGAGAGAGUGCAUAAAACUUCUGUGGCAUGAUGGCUUAUUUUCUGGACAGCAUUCAUGGCCAAAUUGAGGAACUAGUUUAAUUGUAAUUCAAUGUCAGCACCGUCUCUUUCUCAGUAAAAGGGAUAGUGCACAGGGCUUCCUUGCUGCUACCCCACUUGACUGCGCCUGUUUUAACACGAUUGACGAUCUUAUAAGUAGCCUGCUGAAACAAAAGCUUGAGCACGUCGUUUCUUCAAAUAUUGAGGUUCUCCAUUCUUUUUGACCUGACAUAAUUUAUCUCCAGAGUGCAAAUUCAUAAUGGGAUGUAUACUGGCAGCCCCGGUUUAGCCCUACGCAAGAGAACAAUUACGGUUGUGCAUGGUGUUUGAGAAUAAUACAAGUAGAUUUUCCUUGCUGCUAUACUUUUGUGAUGAGCCGAGUAUUCAUAUUUUUGUAUUUUCCAGAAUCCUUCUUAAAGUCUUGAAUAAAGUAUUCUAUAAGGGUAGGGUUUUUUUUUUGA